rnacentral:rRNA from 1 species
CCUACGGGAGGCAGCAGUGGGGAAUAUUGGGCAAUGGGCGCAAGCCUGACCCAGCAACGCCGCGUGAAGGAAGAAGGCCCCCGGGUUGUCAACUUCUUUUAUUCGGGAAGACACAAAUGACGGUACCGAAUGAAUAAGCCACGGCUAAAUACGUGACAGCAGCCGCGGGAAUACGUCGGUUGCAAGCGUUAUCCGGAUUUAAUGGGUGGAACGAGCGUGGAGGCGGGAGAGCAAGUCAGACGUGAAAUUCCAGGGCUCAACCCUGGUACUGCAUUUGAAACUGUUCGUCUUGAGUGAUGGAGAGGCAGGCGGAAUUCCGGGGGUAGCGGUGAAAUGAGUAGAUAUACGGAGGAACACCAGUGGCGAAGGCGGCCUGCUGGACAUUAACUGACGCUGAGGCGCGAAAGCGUGGGGAGCAAACAGGAUUAGAUACCCGAGUAGUC